UGGAGCAGGCCCAGCCAGGCCGGCCCUGGUUUGGUAGCUUAUGUAAGCUUCGCUCCUGUUCACUGAUUGGCCUUGAGCGUGGACAGACAGAGCAGCCAAGAGAGAAGGAAAAGGCGCGACGUUUCAAACUCGCUGCAACACGGAAGUGAUGGAAGAUACAAACAAGCCGUGAACUAAAAGAUGCCGGCUUUUCUUUUCUUCGGAUUUCAAUAUUCAGCGGCAGCUCGAUGGAGCAGUGAGGAAUGAGUCGUUUUUGUCAACGUAGUGGAGAGAAUGGAAAGCCUCGUUAGCCGCUUUGGAGCCCGACGGUGAACACCGACUCAGAUGCAGCUAACGCCGCUGCUGAUCUCCAGCCAGGGAACAGAAGAAGAGGAACAUGGCUGACAUGAUGGUGAACGAUGAGGAAAACCAUCAGAACAACAACUGGAUCUCCUUCAGGAGGAAGCAACUACCAGCACUGAGAUGGCAGAGCUCCAUGAAGAGCUGAGGCAAACAAAAGAAAAAUAAAUGCUGUUGUGCUCUCAAUGAA